UAUCAAUUCUUCGCUCUAUAACGCUAUUGAUAUAUACUAUAAAAGUAUAUACGAAGCGCUCGUUCUGCAGCAGAAAAACCCUCCAAAAGAGCGACUCGUCCGACUUUACUCAAAAACUAAUGAAGAUUUUUUUUCUACCAAACUCAUGAUUCAAAGUUUGUUUGCGUUAUGCAGGCUCUAUAUAUAUUCAGAAGGCUUUACGGAACGAACAAACGAAUUUAUAAAAUCUGCAUUAUUGAAGUCGGUCGCCGUAAAGGAUCUUCCUUUGAGUGUUUCUCUUUAUAAACUGCAAAACAUUAAAAAUAUAAACAUUGAAAAUGCCGAUAACCUUCAUAAAAACGAACUUAAGAAC